rnacentral:rRNA from 1 species
UACGUAGGCAGCGAGCGUUGUUCGGAGUUACUGGGCGUAAAGGGUGUGUAGGCGGUUGUUUAAGUUUGGUGUGAAAUCUCCCGGCUCAACUGGGAGGGUGCGCCGAAUACUGAAUGACUUGGAGUGCGGGAGAGGAGAGUGGAAUUCCUGGUGUAGCGGUGAAAUGCGUAGAUAUCAGGAGGAACACCGGUGGUGUAGACGGCUCUCUGGACCGCAACUGACGCUGAAACACGAAAGCGUGGGUAGCAAACAGG